UGGAGGCGCUGCGGGGCCUCUCCAGGGCCGGGCCGCCUCGCGGAAGGAGCGUUUCCCGGCUGUCGGGCCGGCUGUGCCGAGCUGCAGGACGGGGCCUUUGUCUCCCGUUAUAUUCGAGGAGGAGUUUCUCUCUCCGUGCCCUCCGGGUGGUUGUUUAGACCGCCGUUAACUCAGCCCUCGGCCUCCCCUUCUCCAGACGAAAUGAAAUGACAUUCCUUCAUCCUUCCGGCCAGCCCCCGUGUUCCUGAGCCACCCCACCUGAAUGUGUGAUGCCAUUUUGUGACGGGACCGAGCAAGCGCUGAGGGCGGCCACCGGUGGCUCAGACCCAGACCUGCUGCCUGGAUGGCGUCCAGCCCUUCACCCGCACCCCCGGCCUCAGCCCAGCUCCCUGUGUUUGCAUGGCAGCUGCAGAGCUCCUAGGCUCUGGCACUCAAAAGCAGCAUUCUCUGACAAAGAUGCUGGCUGACGUGGCCAGGAGAUGCGUGUAGGAACACACAAAUGGACUUUAAGAAGUGCUAUUUUCAAUUCUUCAGUUCAACUUUGAUGAUGGAUUUUCUAAAACCUUCUGGAACUAAAGACAGGCAAUGGCUCAAUUUUCUCUUACCAAUUAGGAUUCCCAGGCCAAAGGAGCCAUGACACAGCUUGGUUUGCCACAGGUCUUGGGAACUCAGAGGUGUGCAGAGGUACCUGAUGUAAUGGCCUAACUGCAACAGUUGUUUAACACUGAGGUGAGCGUAAGGGGGGUCUGCAGAGAAAAGGAAAGUGAGAACAGUCAGGGCAGACAGAGAGAGAUCCAGUCCUUGGGAAUAUCUGGGAUGGAGCAGGCUCUUGCACUGAUACUUGUGGCUGAUGGCCUGGAGGCUGAGGGCUGCAGAAACAGCCAAAAAAUGCACUCCAGUGUGGGAGAAGUGAUGUGGCAGUGGCUUUUCUGUGGCAGGCUCCCCUCUGCCUUGAGGAGUGUGCAGCCCUUCACGGCUGGGCUGCUGCUAAAUGCUUUGGGUAUGGUGUAUGCAUCUAACACACAAAGGCAUUUGAAAGGCACUGUGAGCCAAGGCCACAUGGACAAUGGUCAGAAUGACUGGCGUGCAAAAUUUGGAUACCAAAGCAUGGACCAAAUCAUCCGAUUGGGAAGUCUAGGAUUAAAGAGAAUGGCUAAACUUUA